rnacentral:lncRNA from 1 species
CCUGGACCCGCUAAUGUUUGCCACCUGGAUGUCCCAGGUGCAGAGCCGGCUGGUGGAGCUGACGCAGAAAGAGUUGGAAAAGCAACUAGAAAAUGUCCUGACCUGUGAUCAGAAAGAGUGGGCCACCUCUCCCUGCCAGGCGUUCCUCAAAAUCUUCCAGCUGUUGAAAGGAACCAUAGAUUCGGUGCAAGACAUCGGGCCUCCCAUUACCAGCCGGGUUCAAGCCAUGGUUCUGAACACGUUCUCAGAGUUUCUGAAAAGGUACCGGGCUGAGGGUACCGCCCACUUCCUCCAGCAGCAGGCCGGUGCCGGACCCUCCCCCCAGCUGCACGUGCUGCAGAACUGCUGCGUCCUCAGGAAAGUGUGGCAGGAUCUGGGCCAGGCCCAUACUCCCCUGGCGGACUUGGUGCUGAGCACCAUCAGCGCCAUCGAGGACCAGAGCCAGGACGACCUUGUGUCCAGGGUCAGAAGCCUGUGCCAGAGCCUACUGCGGCAUCACUUCGGGAGGGAAGACAAGGAGCUGGCUCACACUCUGCGAUCCCUCCGGCGGGGCCUGGAGCGCUAUGCCGGUCUGCUUCCUCCUCCCACAAACAAGGUAGGAAGGAGCAGAAGGGGGCUCCCGGGGGGUCAGCUCUGUGUGGCUGCUGGUGUCCCCCCUCCCCCGGGCUGUGGGCACCGUCCUGCCAACAGGGCGGCCCAGGGCCAGAGGCAGGCAGGGCUGCAUGGCCCUGGUCGUCAGUCCAGCUCUCGGUCUCCGGGGAGGUGAGGGGCCAGCUGGCGGUCACCCCGGGAAGGAGUGGCUUUGUUGUGGAAGCCCAGUGGUCAGGGGUUAGGCCUGCAGAGUUGGGGGCCAGGCCCCACAGACCCAGCUAGAGGGGCUUUGUGGACCACUCUGCUGCCCCCACCCCCUAGGCUGAGCCCCUGAGGCCACGAGACCUUGUCCUGGGACAGCUUCUCUCCGGCCUUCUGCAUUCUCUUUCUUUUGUGGGGGCAGAGCCUUGUGCAAAGUCUGUACAAAGCGGUAUUCACUGAGUACCUCCAGGCCUUGGUCACCCAUCUCAAGAGGCUGAAGCCCCGGAAGUGGGAAGACCACCGGGGUCAGGUGGAAACGGACGUCCGGGAGCUGCGUGAGGCUUUCGGGAGGCAGGAGGUGAGCCCGGGACCCUCGGGGGCUUCCGAGGGGCCGCCUUCCCCUUCCCGGUGAGUCUCUCUUCUCCCCUGACCGGCCUGGAGCCGGCCGUCCCUCCUGCCCUGCCGGG